rnacentral:tRNA from 1 species
CAAGACGUAGCUAUAAACUCCCAAAGCAUUCAGCUUACACCUGAAAGAUAUUUCCACAAACGAAAUCGUCUUGA